GGGGUACAUAAUGGUGUCCCCCACGUCACAUGUGCCGGGCCCACCUGAAUAUUAUAUUCAGGUGGGCCCGGCACAUGUGAGGGGGGACACCAUUAUGUACC
rnacentral:miRNA from 1 species